GCUUGAUAAGGGGGUCGUGGUCUGCGGGCGUUUCGCGCCCAAAGCUAAGAGGGAAGCCGGUGUGAAACCGGCGCUGCCCCCGCAACUGUAAGCGGCGAGCGGCCGUCCGAUACGUGUCACUGGGGCCCCGAACUCGAUUCGGCGGGGCGCCGGGAAGGCCAGGACGGCGGCGUCGACCCGCGAGCCAGGAGACCUGCCUCGACAGAUAACGUCCU
rnacentral:ncRNA from 1 species